AUGGACGACGACCAAAACUCGACGACCGCGCUUCUCGGGCUGCUGCGGCCGCCUCUCGCGGAACUGACCAGGACCCACACUCAGCAAAGCGGAGACCUGGGCCAGAGGGAGCCGCCCCGGAGAGGGCGGGCUUUUGCUCGGUGGGGACUUCUGAUUGGAUGCGGCCCCACACUGGGGGCGGGACGCACGCACUCAGUCCCGGCCCAGAUGCUCGCUUCAGCGGGGACGCUGCGGACGCUGUCCGUCCACUUGAGUGACAGAGCAGCGGAGCUACGCGCCGGCAGUGUUUCGACAGAAGCUUCUGGAAGCAUGCCUCCGUCAAGCCGCCAGACGGCCGCGUCGCUGGGUUUGGAGUCAGGGCGCACGCCCGCCUGCGCCACCCCGGGGCCGGGUGUCCGCCCGCUCGAGGCCGAAUGGCCUCUUCUGCUUGGGCUCGCGCCUCUUCUCGUGCGCGGCUCGGCGGGCGAGGCGGACGCAGCGCCACAGCUCAGUCCGCGCCCCACGGGCUCGGCGCGGGGACCCCAGGCCGGCUCAGCCUGUCGGGGCCUUGUGCGGGGGACGCCCCUCGGGCCGCCGGGGGGCAGGGUCUCCGGGUCCCCGCGUUUGAAGCUUCCGCACGGGUUUCCGUGUCAGCGCCGGGCGCGGGGACUCCGGCUUCCUGCGCUGGGGUGCGGCGUCAGGAGGCCGAGGGCGCAGCCUGGGCAGGCGCGAGCAGUGUUUGCUUUGCAAACCGCACGUUCGGUACCUACAGAAGCCCGCUCGCCCACCGAGAAGAAAGGGCGGGAGACAAGGCGCCCUUGUCUAGGAACACAGUCGGCGAGGCGAGGCGAGGCGAGCUGUCGGGGCAGGCCGGCCACGGGCAGGCAGCGCCGGGAGCCGGGGCGCCGUCUGGGCUGCUCCCAGUCGCCACCAGCCACGUGCGGGGGGCGGGCAGCACCCCCAGGGACAGUCCGCCGUGCCAGAGCCGGGCAGGCUAGAAGACAGGCCGGAAGAGCCAGGGCGUUUGGCAGACUCCUGGGCCUUGUCACGGAGCAGGCGGGGCGGGGCCGCGCCUGGGCCCCUGGGCGCAGGGCUCAGUGCCGCCCCCUUGGCUGA
rnacentral:lncRNA from 1 species